CCCUUAGAUGUUCUGGGCCGCACGCGCGCUACACUGAUGCAUUCAACGAGCCUAUCCUUGACCGACAGGUCCGGGUAAUCUUUGAAUCUGCAUCGUGAGGGGAUAGAUUAUUGCAAUUAUUAAUCUUCAACGAGGAAUGCCUAGUAGGCGCAAGUCAUCAGCUUGCGUCGAUUACGUCCCUGCCCUUUGUACACACCGCCCGUCGCUCCUACCGAUUGGGUGUGCUGGUGAAAUGUUCGGAUCGGCCGUUUGUCGCGGUUUCCGCGGCUCGUGGCUGAGAAGUUCAUUAAACCCUCCCACCUAGAGGAAGGAGAAGUCGUAACA
rnacentral:rRNA from 1 species